rnacentral:rRNA from 1 species
GAUGAACGCUGGCGGCGUGCCUAAUACAUGCAAGUCGAGCGAACGGACGAUAAGCUUGCUUCUCUGAUGUUAGCGGCGGACGGGUGUGUAACACGUGGAUAACCUACCUAUAAGACUGGGAUAACUUCGGGAAACCGGAGCUAAUACCGGAUAAUAUUUUGAACCGCAUGGUUCAAAAGUGAAAGACGGUCUUGCUGUCACUUAUAGAUGGAUCCGCGCUGCAUUAGCUAGUUGGUAAGGUAACGGCUUACCAAGGCGACGAUGCAUAGCCGACCUGAGAGGGUGAUAGGCCACACUGGAGCUGAGACAGGGACAAGAGUCCUACGGGAGGCAGCAGUAGGGAACCUUCCGCAACGGGCGAGAGCCUGACGCAACAACGCCGAGUGAGUGAUGAAGGUCUUGGGAUCGUAAAACUCUGUUAUUAGGGAAGAACAUAUGUGUAAGUAACUGUGCACAUCUUGACGGUACCUAAUAAGAAAGCCACGGCUAACUACGUG